UUAACUAUUUUAUAUAAUACUCAGACGACACUAAUAAACAGAGUUUGGGGGUCCUCUGGCGAGCACUCACCAGCGUAAGCCGGUGGCCGAAGCGGCUCGCCAAAGCAACAAAGGUAUAAUUAACAUAGGGUUGGAGAGUCACCCUUGCGGGCGAGUUUCUCUGUAAUGAUCCCUCCGCAGGUUCACCUACGGAGA
rnacentral:misc_RNA from 1 species